rnacentral:lncRNA from 1 species
AGGAAAGACAGAGCAUGGCUGCUGGGCAGCCAGGUCAACCGGACGGCAAGGCAGGGGUUGGCCGGGGAAGCACUGCGCCGCCCCUGCAUGCCCUGCAUCCUCGGGUCCUGGGAGGGCUGCUCAGUAACUGGAAGGAAAAUGAAACUGAAAAAGAGCAAGGGUCCCGUAGGAUUGAACACAGUUGGUGAAACUUGGGCCGUCUGCCUCAAGUCCCCGCUUGGCAAAACCACUCCCUCCUGGUGGACGCCCUCACCAUGAAGGUGGCUGGCCAAGAGAAGCCUGCCCGGCGACGCUGAGGCACCGAACAUGAGCAGGGGAGGAAGGAAUGCCUGGGAGCAGCUGAGCCGAGCCCCUGCCACCAGCCUCCUCCGCACGCCCGUGGAAUCAGCACUUUCUGCUUCCCGCCCCUGAGAGCCUUGCUCUGGGGCCACUCACAGCCAAUUAAGUGGGGAUGUUGUAAGAGACUCUAAAAUACGUGGAGCUGGCUGAGGACGCGGGACCGACCCCAUUAUGUGUGUGUGAGGCUGAUUAAAGUGUUACCUGUCACCAGGUGUCGCCAA